GAUGAACGCUGUCGGCGUGCCUAAUACAUGCAAGUCGAGCGAACAGACGAGGAGCUUGCUCCUUUGACGUUAGCGGCGGACGGGUGAGUAACACGUGGGUAACCUACCUAUAAGACUGGGAUAACUUCGGGAGACCGGAGCUAAUACCGGAUAAUAUUUCGAACCGCAUGGUUCGAUAGUGAAAGAUGGCUUUGCUAUCACUUAUAGAUGGACCUGCGCCGUAUUAGCUAGUUGGUAAGGUAACGGCUUACCAAGGCAACGAUACGUAGCCGACCUGAGAGGGUGAUCGGCCACACUGGAACUGAGACACGGUCCAGACUCCUACGGGAGGCAGCAGUAGGGAAUCUUCCGCAAUGGGCGAAAGCCUGACGGAGCAACGCCGCGUGAGUGAUGAAGGUCUUCGGAUCGUAAAACUCUGUUAUUAGGGAAGAACAAACGUGUAAGUAACUGUGCACGUCUUGACGGUACCUAAUCAGAAAGCCACGGCUAACUACGUGCCAGCAGCCGCGGUAAUACGUAGGUGGCAAGCGUUAUCCGGAAUUAUUGGGCGUAAAGCGCGCGUAGGCGGUUUUUUAAGUCUGAUGUGAAAGCCCACGGCUCAACCGUGGAGGGUCAUUGGAAACUGGAAAACUUGAGUGCAGAAGAGGAAAGUGGAAUUCCAUGUGUAGCGGUGAAAUGCGCAGAGAUAUGGAGGAACACCAGUGGCGAAGGCGACUUUCUGGUCUGUAACUGACGCUGAUGUGCGAAAGCGUGGGGAUCAAACAGGAUUAGAUACCCUGGUAGUCCACGCCGUAAACGAUGAGUGCUAAGUGUUAGGGGGUUUCCGCCCCUUAGUGCUGCAGCUAACGCAUUAAGCACUCCGCCUGGGGAGUACGACCGCAAGGUUGAAACUCAAAGGAAUUGACGGGGACCCGCACAAGCGGUGGUGCAUGUGGUUUAAUUCGAAGCAACGCGAAGAACCUUACCAAAUCUUGACAUCCUUUGACCCUUCUAGAGAUAGAAGUUUCCCCUUCGGGGGACAAAGUGACAGGUGGUGCAUGGUUGUCGUCAGCUCGUGUCGUGAGAUGUUGGGUUAAGUCCCGCAACGAGCGCAACCCUUAAGCUUAGUUGCCAUCAUUAAGUUGGGCACUCUAAGUUGACUGCCGGUGACAAACCGGAGGAAGGUGGGGAUGACGUCAAAUCAUCAUGCCCCUUAUGAUUUGGGCUACACACGUGCUACAAUGGACAAUACAAAGGGCAGCGAAACCGCGAGGUCAAGCAAAUCCCAUAAAGUUGUUCUCAGUUCGGAUUGUAGUCUGCAACUCGACUACAUGAAGCUGGAAUCGCUAGUAAUCGUAGAUCAGCAUGCUACGGUGAAUACGUUCCCGGGUCU
rnacentral:rRNA from 1 species